rnacentral:rRNA from 1 species
GGAAUAUUGGACAAUGGGGGCAACCCUGAUCCAGCAAUGCCGCGUGUGUGAAGAAGGCCUUCGGGUUGUAAAGCACUUUAAGUUGGGAGGAAAAGCUUGUUGUUAAUAACCGUAAGUGUUGACGUUACAACCAGACUAAGCACACGCUAACUCCGUGCCAGCAGCCGCGGUAAAACGGAGGGUGCAAGCGUUAAUCGGAAUUACUGGGCGUAAAGCGCGCGUAGGCGGUUUGUUAAGUCAGAUGUGGAAUCCCCGGGCUCAACCUGGGAAUGGCAUUUGAGACUGGCAGGCUAGAGUGUGGUAGAGGUGAGUGGAAUUUCAGGUGUAGCGGUGAAAUGCGUAGAGAUCUGAAGGAACAUCAGUGGCGAAGGCGACUCACUGGGCCAUUACUGACGCUGAGGUGCGAAAGCGUGGGUAGCA